GGAAAACCGCUGGUGUGCUGGCAUGGUAUCAGGGAGUAGGCACAGGCAUGCACUAUUCCUUCACUUAAUAGAUAAAGUGUUAUCCCUUUCCCCUCCCUUCUCCUUGUUAAGAAUUGGUAAGUGUUGCAGCUGCAUAAGAAAUGUGGGGAUCUAAAGGAUAUCUUUUGGGUAAAGAAGUGUUAUCUCCUCCUCUCUUCCUUUCCCAGCUACAUAAGCGAACCCUGGGUCAUAGCCCAUUUCUCCCAUCCCUGAGAACAGCAGAUUAAGGGAAUUUGUAGCAACAAAUUACUGCAAAUAAAUGUAUUUUCAAGGAUCCCAGGGGAGAGUCGUGCCUGAUCACCAGUCUCGCCAUGGAUUCAAUGAAUACUGUGGGCAAGUUGGCACCAGUGGAAGAACAACCCAGAACACCAUGGGUGUACUGUCGCAAUGAAGAUUGUGUUGUGUGUUUCGUGUUGCUUGUCUUGUUAUUACUGUUAUUUUGGUAAAUAUUGUACAAGGAAAAUUAAUGCGUAUAGCAGCAAAGAUUAGUGCAUGGUAUAACGCGCCUGGAAAGCACGAUCUGGCCCAACGGGGGGAAUCAAGUGAUGUACCACAUUCCAGGAGAAUACCAUCCAUUCCCAGCUCCUAAAUGAAGGGUUCCUUACCUAGUCUUUGACCAGUUGGAGCUCAGCCUGCUGCUAUUUAAAAACAAAAAAUGGAGCAUGGAAAUGGGUUUAUUACACGCAAAUAAAAAGGCACAGAAUGGGAGUUAAAAAGGAAAAUGUAUAAAUUGUUACAUGCAUAUUACAGGUGGACCUACAAAGGGGAAACCAAGGAUUCCCUGGCCUGGAAUGGAACAAUCAUUGUUGCUAAUCACAAUUGUCACUAUUGUAAACCCUGCCCAGAUCCCGCAAUGUAAAGUAGCAAAAAAAGGAAACACGUGAACAGUUACACACCUAAGUGGUGGUAAUGAAGCAAAGGAGAACUUUAAGGAUUUACCAGUGGAAAACUACUACUAUUCCCCCAUGAGAAUUUGGCAAUGUUGGUAUGUAGUGUAUGAAUUGAAGUGGGGAUCCUAACCCGGUGAAGAAUAUCAAAUUUAUCAGAAAAUAUUGCAUAGUAUUCCUUAGAAUAUGUCAUAAUAAAUGACAGUGGAAAACACAGUCAUCUGGACACGUGGCUUGUCACGGAGGGCCCCCAAAACACAUAACCCUCUGGUCUCCUGGGGUGUUUGGGUUAUGGGGUUCCACAAUUGGAGUGUGGUGUUACCAUGUAUAAUCAUAAUGUUACCUCCAUAAAGAAUAA